ACAUGGGAGGAAUCAGUUCUGGUGGUUUAUUGCAAAACAUGGUGACUAUAGUUAAUGUACUAUGUAUUUCAAAACAUCUAAAAGAAAAGAUUUUAAGUGUUCUCACUACAAAGCAAUGAUAAAUAUUUGAGAUGCUGAACUUUUUAAUACUUACAUUCUUAAGUUUUUCAAGGCUUUUCUAAUAAGUCUGGCAUUCCUGCCCUUGGCAGUGUGAGAUGGAAGAUGAUGUCGCAAGGGUGGCCGAGAAGCAGCUGGGCUGAGCUGCUAAAAGCACAGAGACCGGGGCCAGACUCCUCAGCCUGAAAUCCUGCUUCCACUAAGUACCAGCUGGGUAACUUCAGGCCCUGGAGGUCCAUGCUUCUGCCCAAGCUGUGUCUCAUCUCUGCAGGUGGAGCCCAGUUGACAGGAAAUGUUUCUCCAGAAGCUGAAAAGCUGCCUGGUAAAGGCCUUUCAUAAAAUGGUCUGCGUUUGGGACCAGGAAGACAGAAGACUCCUCAAGAAGAGAACUGGAACCUUAACCCACUUCAGACUUCUUCAUGUCUGAAGCUUAUUUCCACCAUCCCAUUGAG
ensembl:lncRNA LINC00968 long intergenic non-protein coding RNA 968